UUGAGCUUGAUCCCUGGCUCAGGACGAACGCUGGCGGCGUGCCUAAUACAUGCAAGUCGAGCGGAUUUAUCCUUCGGGAUAAGUUAGCGGCGGACGGGUGAGUAACACGUAGGUAACCUGCCUAUAAGAUCGGGAUAACUAUCGGAAACGAUAGCUAAGACCGGAUAAUUGGUUUUCUCGCAUGAGAGAAUUAUGAAACACGGAGCAAUCUGUGGCUUAUAGAUGGGCCUGCGGCGCAUUAGCUAGUUGGUAGGGUAACGGCCUACCAAGGCGACGAUGCGUAGCCGACCUGAGAGGGUGAACGGCCACACUGGGACUGAGACACGGCCCAGACUCCUACGGGAGGCAGCAGUAGGGAAUCUUCCGCAAUGGACGCAAGUCUGACGGAGCAACGCCGCGUGAGUGAUGAAGGUUUUCGGAUCGUAAAGCUCUGUUGCCCUAGACGAACAGCAAGAGGAGUAACUGCCUUUUGUGUGACGGUAUAGGAGAAGAAAG
rnacentral:rRNA from 1 species